GACGUAGGAUGCAAGCGUUGUCCGGAUUUAUUGGGCGUAAAGAGUUCGUAGGCGGUUUGUUAAGUCUGAUGUUAAAGAUCGGGGCCCAACCCUGGGAGUGCAUUGGAUACUGGCAGACUGGAGUGUGGUAGAGGUUAGUGGAAUUCCCAGUGUAGCGGUGAAAUGCGUAGAUAUUGGGAAGAACACCAGUGGCGUAGGCGACUAACUGGGCCAUAACUGACGCUGAGGAACGAAAGCCAGGGGAGCGAAUGGG
rnacentral:rRNA from 1 species